CUCGUAGGUGGUUUGUCGCGUUGUUCGUGAAAACUCACAACUCAAUUGUGGGCGUGCGGGCGAUACGGGCAGACUGGAGUACUGCAGGGGAGACUGGAAUUCCUGGUGUAGCGGUGGAAUGCGCAGAUAUCAGGAGGAACACCGGUGGCGAAGGCGGGUCUCUGGGCAGUAACUGACGCUGAGGAGCGAAAGCGUGGGAGCGAACA
rnacentral:rRNA from 1 species